AAGGAUCAUUACCUUUCAAUGCAGAAGAGUUGAGAUGGUUGAGUAUCUCGCCUCUCAAUUCUCGCUGUAUUUUACCCUUGUUUUUCUCAUACUAUUAUUUCCUCGGCAGGCUCGCCUGCCGGGUGAAACAACUUCAAACCUGUUUAAUUUUCAAUCAGCGUCUGAACAAAUUAAUAAUUACAACUUUCAACAACGGAUCUCUUGGUUCUG
rnacentral:misc_RNA from 1 species